rnacentral:RNase_P_RNA from 1 species
UCGCUGCCGGCCGCAGGCCGGGAGAGGAAAGUCCGGGCAACACAGAGCGCCACGCAAGCUAACGACUUGAUGGCCGUGAGGUCAUGGGAGCGUAACAGAAAACAACCGCCGGUAAAGGCGUCCGGAGCCAUCGGCCUCCCGCACAGGGACAGGCACGGUGCGUCGCCCGGAAUUUCCGACCGGUAAGGGUGAAAAGGCGGGGUAAGAGCCCACCGCGGAGGCAGUGAUGUCAUCCGGCCGUACGUCCCGUGGGUUGCAAGACCGUGUAUACCGGCAAUUAAGGGUUGCUCGCCCGAUGCCGGGGGGUAGGUUGCUGGAGGCGGCAGGUGACUGCCGUCGUAGAUAAAUGACAGGGGCCCGAAAUCCGCUUCGGGAACAGAACCCGGCUUACAGGGC